rnacentral:misc_RNA from 1 species
UUGUAGAAGACGCAUUUGUUCGAGGGCGCGACACCAUUACACCCCUACAUGGCUUCGACCUCUUGUGCAGAGUAAACGAAAACCCACAAGACAGACUUGCAACGAAGCUGCAUGCUUAUAACGUUACCAUCAAAAGAUGGGUGAUUCAGUUGCUGAAGAAGUGAAGAAAUCGCGUGAAAUGUUUGCGGAUUCUACAAUGGAGUGUUUAGAUAAUCUAAAUUAUGACAGUUGGGUUAGUUGGAAAAUUAACAUCCAAUUAAUCCUCAAUUUACAUGAUUUGGACUUAGCUCUUAGGGAAGACAAACCUACCGAGCCUAUGGAUACAAGCUCAGCUGAAGAAAAGGCGAAAUAUGCCAAAUGGGUGAGGAGUAAUUACUUAAGCCUUUUGCUUAUGAAGCUCAAUAUGGCUGAUCACAUUUAUUCAUUUUUGUCAUAUACAACUAAAUCUGACAAUGCUAAACAAAUUUUUGCUGCACUGAAAGACAUGAUAAUGAAUGAUGAAAGGAUUCGUGCCCCUUCCAUGUUAAAGGAGUUAGUGACAAUGAAGUACGAUGGCCAAGGUGAUGUUUGCCAACACCUUAACAAAAUGGCUGGUCUUGCUAGUCGAUUGCGAGAUGUGGAUGUUGUUCUUCCUGAAUUUUUGAUUAAUCAACUAGCCCUUGAUUCUCUCCCUUCACAGUUUGGUCCUGUUCGAAUGGCAUAUAUUAUGCCAACGGAGAAAUGGGGAUUGAAUGAACUUAUAAGGAGAUGCAGAGACCAUGAGAAAUUAAUUUCUGUGCCUGGUAAAAGAGUGAGGACAGAAGAAAAUGGGAAUGGGAGUGGCAAUGGGAAGGAUAGUAAUUAUCAGCAAGGAAAUGGAGCAAAGAAAAGGAGGAAUGUUAAAUGUUUUUCUUGUGGGAAGAAGGGGCACUUGGCUAAGAAUUGUAGGCAAGCCUCCAAUUGAAUUAUGGGCUUAGAAUGAAGGUAAUUUUCUGAACAUUAUUUAUUAUUAUUUUUUUUCCAGUAGUACUUGCUAAAUGCGUUUCCUGAACUGCCCAAGGCAAAACAAAUGACAUGAUAGAAUGAAUAAAGUUAAAAUUGCAUUUUAUUUGAAGGGUUGGACUUGAUCUGAAUAAAAUGUCACUGAUUAUUUCUUUCGCUUUCGUAUUGAGGAUUAUCAAGUGUUUUGGACAUCAAAAGAAGGGGAAGUUCACUGUAUUAUCAUGUACCAGCAACCAUGUGGCGGCUGACUCAGGAAUCAAGGAGAGGAUUAUCUAGGCUAGUAGUAAGCAUCAAAAUUCAAUGCAUUGAUGCUUAGUUUCUGCCUUGUUCCAUCUUCUAUAAUGGGAUUAAUAAGUUGAUAAUUUUGUGAUGAGUUUUGACUUGAGUCUGCCCAUUAUUGAAUAGUUUCAUGAAAUAGCAAGUGGAAGAUCAUGUUACUCAACUUGAUCCCAUGCUCAGAAAUUUGUCAUUAGGGGGAUGUAUGAUAUGUAUAUAAAGGGUAAAUUACAAGUUGGUCUUUGAGAUUUAUCAAAUUUCAUAAUUUAAUCCUUUUAUUUUCAAUUUAAAAUAAUUUAGUC